rnacentral:lncRNA from 1 species
GCAAUUUCAUAGUGUGCUGUUACAAUCUGUAUAUCGUUGUGGCCAACUGCUCUUCUUUAAGUGAAUGAAAUAUAUUUAAUUUCUUUAUUCUGUCUUGUCCACAAUGUUUUUUUUUUUUUUUUUAAAAAAAUCAUGUGUGAAGUUGUAUCAGCAAACAAUUCUACACAUAAAAAAUUUCUCCACCAUCCUCAACUGAGUCCACAGACAUAACAACCCUAAUUUGGAAUACAGACAUUUCUGCUGAGCAGACCAGAAGAUGUGGUUCUCAUGGUUUACGAGAAGGUACCACCCCUGUGUUCCCACUGCUGCAUGACUCUAUCAUUAACAGGGAAGGGAUCACAGAAAUUCCAACAAGUU